CACGUAGGCGGAUUGGUAAGUCAGAUGUGAAAUCCCGGAGCUCAACUCCGGAACUGCAUUUGAUACUGCCAGUCUUGAGUGAGGUAGAGGGGGGUGGAAUUCCCGGUGUAGAGGUGAAAUUCGUAGAUAUCGGGAGGAACACCAGAGGCGAAGGCGACCCCCCUGGGCCUCUACUGACGCUGAGGUGCGAAAGCGUGGGGAGCAAACA
rnacentral:rRNA from 1 species